AGAGUUUGAUCCUGGCUCAGGAUGAACGCUAGCUACAGGCUUAACACAUGCAAGUCGAGGGGCAGCAUGGUCUUAGCUUGCUAAGGCCGAUGGCGACCGGCGCACGGGUGAGUAACACGUAUCCAACCUGCCGUCUACUCUUGGACAGCCUUCUGAAAGGAAGAUUAAUACAAGAUGGCAUCAUGAGUCCACAUGUUCACAUGAUUAAAGGUAUUCCGGUAGACGAUGGGGAUGCGUUCCAUUAGAUAGUAGGCGGGGUAACGGCCCACCUAGUCUUCGAUGGAUAGGGGUUCUGAGAGGAAGGUCCCCCACAUUGGAACUGAGACACGGUCCAAACUCCUACGGGAGGCAGCAGUGAGGAAUAUUGGUCAAUGGGCGAGAGCCUGAACCAGCCAAGUAGCGUGAAGGAUGACUGCCCUAUGGGUUGUAAACUUCUUUUAUAAAGGAAUAAAGUCGGGUAUGCAUACCCGUUUGCAUGUACUUUAUGAAUAAGGAUCGGCUAACUCCGUGCCAGCAGCCGCGGUAAUACGGAGGAUCCGAGCGUUAUCCGGAUUUAUUGGGUUUAAAGGGAGCGUAGAUGGAUGUUUAAGUCAGUUGUGAAAGUUUGCGGCUCAACCGUAAAAUUGCAGUUGAUACUGGAUAUCUUGAGUGCAGUUGAGGCAGGCGGAAUUCGUGGUGUAGCGGUGAAAUGCUUAGAUAUCACGAAGAACUCCGAUUGCGAAGGCAGCCUGCUAAGCUGCAACUGACAUUGAGGCUCGAAAGUGUGGGUAUCAAACAGGAUUAGAUACCCUGGUAGUCCACACGGUAAACGAUGAAUACUCGCUGUUUGCGAUAUACAGCAAGCGGCCAAGCGAAAGCGUUAAGUAUUCCACCUGGGGAGUACGCCGGCAACGGUGAAACUCAAAGGAAUUGACGGGGGCCCGCACAAGCGGAGGAACAUGUGGUUUAAUUCGAUGAUACGCGAGGAACCUUACCCGGGCUUAAAUUGCAGAUGAAUUACGGUGAAAGCCGUAAGCCGCAAGGCAUCUGUGAAGGUGCUGCAUGGUUGUCGUCAGCUCGUGCCGUGAGGUGUCGGCUUAAGUGCCAUAACGAGCGCAACCCUUGUUGUCAGUUACUAACAGGUCAUGCUGAGGACUCUGACAAGACUGCCAUCGUAAGAUGUGAGGAAGGUGGGGAUGACGUCAAAUCAGCACGGCCCUUACGUCCGGGGCUACACACGUGUUACAAUGGGGGGUACAGAGGGCCGCUACCACGCGAGUGGAUGCCAAUCCCAAAAACCUCUCUCAGUUCGGACUGGAGUCUGCAACCCGACUCCACGAAGCUGGAUUCGCUAGUAAUCGCGCAUCAGCCACGGCGCGGUGAAUACGUUCCCGGGCCUUGCACACACCGCCCGUCAAG
rnacentral:rRNA from 1 species